rnacentral:rRNA from 1 species
CAUGAUCAGCCCGUUCUGUUCGGGAUAACAGUUGGAAACGGCUGCUAAUACCGGAUACGCUCAAAAUGAACUUUUUGAGGAAAGAUGGCCUCUGCUUGCAUGCUAUCACGUAAGGAUGAGUCCGCGUCCCAUUAGCUUGUUGGCGGGGUAACGGCCCACCAAGGCAUCGAUGGGUAGCCGAUUUGAGAGGAUGAUCGGCCACACUGGAACUGAAACACGGUCCAGACUCCUACGGGAGGCAGCAGUGGGGAAUAUUGCGCAAUGGGCGAAAGCCUGACGCAGCGACGCCGCGUGAGGGAUGAAGGUUUUCGGAUCGUAAACCUCUGUCAGAAGGGAAGAAACUACGUUGUGCUAAUCAGCAGCGUACUGACGGUACCUUCAAAGGAAGCACCGGCUAACUCCGUGCCAGCAGCCGCGGUAAUACGGAGGGUGCAAGCGUUAAUCGGAAUUACUGGGCGUAAAGCGCACGUAGGCUGUAGUGUAAGUCAGGGGUGAAAUCCCACGGCUCAACCGUGGAACUGCCUUUGAUACUGCACAACUUGAAUCCGGGAGAGGGUGGCGGAAUUCCAGGUGUAGGAGUGAAAUCCGUAGAUAUCUGGAGGAACAUCAGUGGCGAAGGCGGCCACCUGGACCGGUAUUGACGCUGAGGUGCGAAAGCGUG